CCUACGGGAGGCAGCAGCUAAGAAUAUUGCGCAAUGGACGAAAGACUGACCCAGCGACGCCGCGUGGAUGAAGAAGGCCGAAAGGUUGUAAAUCCUUUUGUCGAUGAGGAAUAAGUGUGGGAGGGAAUGCCCGCAUGAUGACUGUAGUCGGUGAAUAAGCCCCGGCUAACUACGUGCCAGCAGCCGCGGUAAU
rnacentral:rRNA from 1 species